GACGAAGGGAGCGAGCGUUGUUCGGAAUCACUGGGCUUAAAGGGCGCGUAGGCGGGCUGUCAAGUCUGGGGUGAAAUCCCGCGGCUCAACCGUGGAACUGCCUCAGAUACUGACGGCCUCGAGGGAGAUAGGGGCGAGCGGAACUAAUGGUGGAGCGGUGAAAUGCGUUGAUAUCAUUAGGAACUCCGGUGGCGAAGGCGGCUCGCUGGAUCUCUUCUGACGCUGAGGCGCGAAAGCUAGGGGAGCAAACGGG
rnacentral:rRNA from 1 species